UGCAACCUCCAGAGUUUUGGCAUUGACAGCAUUGAAAGUGGACAUUGUAGCCAAUUGUCUUGUUCCAUUGUUUGACAUGGAGGAAUUUGGGGUCAUGUUGAUAUUUUAGAUGUUGCAAACUAAUUACAUUUACUGACAGAGAAUAGAUCAGGGGCUAAUUGUGGGGGAUUGGGGAUUAGUUAUCAACAGCAGAAAAUAACACACGGGAAUAGUAAAUAUGUUUUGUUGACGAUGAUGGUGAUGAUAAUUACAAUUAUACAGUUAUUGUCCCUAAACCAAUAUGUUGCAUUUACUUAUUAGUCCAUCCUCUUGAAAACAAAACUAACAGUACUGCAUGUACAUGGAAAAUCUAACAGAAAACAAAUAUGAAUCUGAUAGAUGGUGGCAGAGGCUUUGUUUUUCCUUCUGCUUUUACUUAUUGCUUUUUAGUAAUUUGUAAUUUAGACAUCCUAAGAAUUGAUCCCAGCGCUGGUUCACAGCUGAGCGAUGUCCCAUUAGGACUGGUUGAUCCAGACGCACCACAUGAAGAUGAUGACCAGGGCAUAACAGGAGAUGAGCAGCAGAUAGAUGCGAAAGAGCAGGCUAAAGGAAACCAUGAGGAGGCAGCAGGGAAGGCCGCCACAGCCAAAAACCUACAAAGAACAAGGCAGGACCUGAAAAGUCAGCUGAAUGGGAAGAAGAAGACCGAGCAAUCAACAUAUACGCCCUGCCAGUCAUCAGUCUUUACACUAGGCGGAGCGAGAAACCGAGGGCUAAUAACAUCCAGUAUGUUCAAGGUCAGGGCACUGAACAGCUCAAAGUUGCAGACGGGGGCUGGACAUCCUCCGACCAUCGGUAGCAGAUGAGGUUGGCGAUGUAUUUGAGCACAACCACCCUUACCCAGUGGGGGACCUCUUGAUAUUUCAUGGAGCUGUGGUGGAGGACAUUGAAGGUGAUGAUGUCCAACUCGUCAACCCCAAACUGGAGGAUGGAGGUCUCCCCCAGUAUGUCCACCAGCUCCCACUCUCCACUGGCUUCCAGAUUGCUAAUCGAUGAACUCACCACCCCCAGGACAGCAUACAGAGUGAAGGAGAUGUUGGUUAUGGUGGGAUUGCUGAGGUUCACUGCUGGCCUGAAGGAUUGUAGGUCAAACACAGCCUGCAUGGAUUCAUAGGUUGGACCACUGUGGCCUUGUUUGCAGGACAGUUUACUAAAACAUAGAGACACUGACGAUAGAGAAAGUUUAUAAAACACUUUAUUUUUGCAUUUAUUACAUCUUAAUUGCACUUUUAAACAAUUAAACUUUCCCAUUAUCAAUGAAAAUGAAGAGCUGUUUUCUAAAUAUAAAGCUAUACUAAACAAUAAACAAAAUGCUGUACUUUUCA